rnacentral:rRNA from 1 species
CGUGUAGGCGGCUAGGUAGGUCCGUUGUGAAAACUCGAGGCUCAACCUCGAGACGCCGAUGGAAACCAUCUAGCUAGAGUCCGGAAGAGGAGAGUGGAAUUCCUGGUGUAGCGGUGAAAUGCGCAGAUAUCAGGAAGAACACCCGUGGCUAAGGCGGCUCUCUAGUACGGUACUGACGCUGAGACGCGAAAGCGUGGGAGCGAACA